CUCCCAAUCUGUUUAAAAUAAUCAUGGGUUGAAGUCAUUAACUGGUUGAUGAACUCACAAGUGUAGGCAGUGUGCUACAUCAGGGGUAAUUUUUUCAUGAACACUCAGCUCUGGCCUGUGAGUGGAAUUUGAUAGUAACCUUUGCUACAAGU
rnacentral:snoRNA from 1 species